UUGGACGAGACAGAGACGGAGACAAAGCUUCCCUCGUAGAAACCAAACAGUGGGACUGUGUUACAACUUAAGGCCCACGCGUUCGGAUGAGACCAAGAUAAUACUCAACUUGGACAGUGCAUAAGACAUGUUAAAUCAUCGUUUUAUGUUUUAAAUUUGCGGUUU